rnacentral:rRNA from 1 species
UACGUAGGGUGCAAGCGUUGUCCGGAAUUAUUGGGCGUAAAGCGCGCGCAGGUGGUUUCUUAAGUCUGAUGUGAAAGCCCACGGCUCAACCGUGGAGGGUCAUUGGAAACUGGGAGACUUGAGUGCAGAAGAGGAAAGUGGAAUUCCAUGUGUAGCGGUGAAAUGCGUAGAGAUAUGGAGGAACACCAGUGGCGAAGGCGACUUUCUGGUCUGUAACUGACACUGAGGCGCGAAAGCGUGGGGAGCAAACAGG